rnacentral:rRNA from 1 species
UGGGGAAUAUUGGACAAUGGGGGGAACCCUGAUCCAGCAAUACCGCGUGUGUGAAGAAGGCCUUCGGGUUGUAAAGCACUUUAGUUGGGGAGGAAGUUGCGUAGUUUAAGAGAUAACGUAAUUGACUGUACCCAAAGAAUAAGCACCGGCUAACUCUGUGCCAGCAGCCGCGGUAAUACAGAGGGUGCGAGCGUUAAUCGGAAUUACUGGGCGUAAAGGGCGCGUAGGCGGUUAUAUAAGUUGAAUGUGAAAUCCCUGGGCUUAACCUAGGAACUGCAUGCAAGACUGUAUGACUAGAGUGCUGUAGAGGGUAGUGGAAUUUCCGGUGUAGCGGUGAAAUGCGUAGAUAUCGGAAGGAACACCAGUGGCGAAGGCGGCUACCUGGACAGACACUGACGCUGAGGCGCGAGAGCGUGGGGAGCAAACAGG